GUCUGAUUAGUGGCGAACGGGUGAGUAACACGUGAGUAACCUGCCCUCCACUUCGGGAUAACCUCGGGAAAUCGUGGCUAAUACCGGAUAUGAAUCCUUGUCGCAUGGCGGGGGUUGGAAAGAUUUAUCGGUGGGGGAUGGACUCGCGGCCUAUCAGUUUGUUGGUGAGGUAAUGGCUCACCAAGACGAUGACGGGUAGCCGGCCUGAGAGGGCGACCGGCCACACUGGGACUGAGACACGGCCCAGACUCCUACGGGAGGCAGCAGUGGGGAAUAUUGCACAAUGGGCGAAAGCCUGAUGCAGCGACGCCGCGUGAGGGAUGACGGCCUUCGGGUUGUAAACCUCUUUCAGUAGGGAAGAAGCGAGAGUGACGGUACCUGCAGAAGAAGCGCCGGCUAACUACGUGCCAGCAGCCGCGGUAAUACGUAGGGCGCAAGCGUUGUCCGGAAUUAUUGGGCGUAAAGAGCUUGUAGGUGGCUUGUCGCGUCUGCCGUGAAAACCCGAGGCUCAACCUCGGGCGUGCGGUGGGUACGGGCAGGCUAGAGUGUGGUAGGGGAGACUGGAACUCCUGGUGUAUCGGUGAAAUGCGCAGAUAUCAG
rnacentral:rRNA from 1 species